rnacentral:rRNA from 1 species
GAUGAACGCUGGCGGCGUGCCUAAUACAUGCAAGUCGAGCGAACGGACGAGAAGCUUGCUUUUCUGAUGUUAGCGGCGGACGGGUGAGAAACACGUGGAUAACCUACCUAUAAGACUGGGAUAACUUCGGGAAACCGGAGCUAAUACCGGAUAAUAUUUUGAACCGCAUGGUUCAAAAGUGAAAGACGGUCUUGCUGUCACUUAUAGAUGGAUCCGCGCUGCAUUAGCUAGUUGGUAAGGUAACGGCUUACCAAGGCAACGAUGCCUAGCCGACCUGAGAGGGUGAUCGGCCACACUGGAACUGAGACACGGUCCAGACUCCUACGGGAGGCAGCAGUAGGGAAUCUUCCGCAAUGGGCGAAAGCCUGACGGAGCAACGCCGCGUGAGUGAUGAAGGUCUUCGGAUCGUAAAACUCUGUUAUUAGGGAAGAACAUAUGUGUAAGUAACUGUGCACAUCUUGACGGUACCUAAUCAGAAAGCCACGGCUAACUACGUG